rnacentral:rRNA from 1 species
GACGAACCGUGCGAACGUUGUUCGGAAUCACUGGGCGUAAAGCGCACGUAGGCGGCGAUUCAAGUCAGGGGUGAAAUCCCGGGGCUCAACCCCGGAACUGCCUCUGAAACUAGAUUGCUAGAAUCCUGGAGAGGCGAGUGGAAUUCCGAGUGUAGAGGUGAAAUUCGUAGAUAUUCGGAAGAACACCAGUGGCGAAGGCGACUCGCUGGACAGGUAUUGACGCUGAGGUGCGAAAGCGUGGGGAGCAAACAGG